CAAUCUUAGCUGCAACGUUGGCUCGGUUCUUUUUUCAGCCCCGUGUACCUCUACCGGCUUCAACCACAGACUGUUCACUAAACUCAUCCCUACGCUCUUCUUCCCUUGGACUUCCUCGCCUUCACUUGCCGCAGAGGCAGUGUAGCUGCUGCCUGGAGUCGUAGGAGACCUCUUCGCUGCUAUUUUGUGUAUUGGGACACAGGAGUGCUGAGUUAUAGGUAGUUGCCUUGCGAAGUGAUGAAAAAGAACUUGCCAGAUCAAUGGCCACAUGUUACAUGCCUGAAGUCUUAUGAAUCUGCUCUAGAAAACAUACCACAGCUGCAACCGAGGCUACAACUUCUUUGAAUUUGCAGUACUCUACUUGCCCAAAACAGUGGCCAGCACAUCAAAGAUGCUCAGAAAAUAUUUAAUGGAUGGAUGAAUGAAGUUUUGGGGAUUGUGAACAGUGAGAACCUAUGCCCAGCCAAUUACAAGGAGGCUGCAGCUAUAGGCAACUGGUGAUUGGCAGCAUCAUCACAACACACCAGCUCAUGCCUCACGUCUUGUGCAGAGUUUUUUUGCGAAACGUCAAAUCACCCAGGUGACUCAGCCUGCCUACAGCCCGGAUUUGGUGUCCUGUGACUUCUGGCUUUUCCUGAAACCAAAAUCACCUUUGAAAGAAAAGAGAUUUCAGACUAUCAAUGAGAUUCAGGAAAGGACAGUGGGGCAGCUGAUGGCAAUUGGGAGAGGUGUGUGAGG